CUGUAUAUGAGAUUUGUGCAGCAUUUAUCUACAGCAAAGAAAAAUGUUCUGAAUAACAAGAAAACUGGAUAGCAGCUGCUUUACCUCCUGACUCAUGGGACUGGAUUGAUGGCACAACAUGGGCUAAUCUGACUGGGUUCGUGAAGUGGCUACAAAACGACACACUGGCAAGUACAGCUGAUUAGACCAGCCUUCUCACAUGGUCUCUGUUAUUCAGCGUCCUGUCAUAAAUUUCACAGGUAAGGAUCUGGAUUAAGCUACAUUAUCUUUCUUAAGUAAAGGGCUAACUUUUGCCCCUACUCCACAGAUUUUGCUGAUAUUGCCUUUCAUCAGUGCCAUUGAAGAAGCUAUCCGACAGCUAUCAGAGGAUUCAGCUAAAGAAAUCAGACAUGAAAGCCACCAAGCAAUUAUGAAAUAUCAUCCACAAAGGAGUAAUGUUUCCAAGGAAGAGAGAUUUUUGAUACACAAGUUGUGUGAGGAUACUGACACAGUCAUCCUGCAUGUUGAUGAAGUGUAAUGGUGAAUUUUACAAGCAGAUUGAUGGGGCUGCUAUGGGAAGCCCACUCUCCCAUCUGUUGGCUAAUUUAUUCAUGGAAGACUUUGAGGACAAGGUAUUGGACUCAGCAGGUUUUAAACCAGCGGUCUUUUGGAGGUACUUGGAUGAUACAUUUGUAGUAUGGUUGCACGGGAUGGAUGAAUUACAUCGAUUUCUUGAGAAUAUAAAUUGUAUCCAUGCUAGUAUCAAAUUUACUAUGGAAAUAGAAAAAGAUGUCUGCCUCCCCUUUUUGGAUGUUGUCGUUCCCUGUAAAGCUGACAGUACAUUUGGACAUGCCAUAUAUUGUACACCUAUACAUGCAAAUCAUUAUCUACUUGCCAGUGGCGGCCAUCACCCUUCGCAGACCGUAGGCUUCCUUAAGACCUUACUGCUUUGGGCACACUGUCUAUUGUCUAUCCAAUAAAGAGAUAGUUUGCAAGAAGAGCUCAGAUACCUCAAGAGCAUUUUUAAAGUGAAUGGAUUUUCUCCACAACAAAUUCAUUGAGCAUUCAAUGUAAAACCUAGAGUGCAGGUAUGUGAUGGGGAAGAAGAUAGCAUUUCCUAUAGAUCAAGUGCAUUUUUGUCAUAUGUGGGUGCUCUUUCCUCAAAGGCAGGCUUUACUCUUGAGAAACACUGUGUUAAGGUGAUCUUCUGGUAUCUCACAAAGAUUGCAGCUUUGGUUGGUUCUGUAAAGGAUGAUUUACUGCUAUGUAAGGUGUGUGUGUGUGUGUAUCAGAUUCCUUGUGGAAAUUGUGAAAAGUCAUACAUUGGCCAAACAACAUGCACCAUUCAUGAGAGAUGUGUGGAACAUCAAAGAUACACACAGUUAUCACAGCCAGACAAGUCAGCCAUGGCCGAACGUAGUACUGAUACAGGGCAUUCCAUGAACUUCAGUGAUGUGAAGUUUCUAACUUCCACCUCUUUGUUUUGGGAUUCUGUCUCCAAGAGAUUAGAUUAACUAACAAUUUAAUAAAUGGGAUAAUGGUUUUAAUUUGGACAAAGCAUGGAAUCCAGUUCUUGAGAUAAUUAAACUGCAGAGAAGUCGUCAUGGUGUUAUCACCACUGAAUAUACAUUGAUAAGCAAAUCGAACAAAUGUACACCUUCGCCACAUGCAGCAUAUGUGUAAGUGCAUCUCUUUGCUGUUUACCAGCAUCUGUAACUCGCAGGCACAUACUGCCAUGUUGCAGCAUAUAAUUUGUGCUUGGCAACUUGUUGUCACUUUUGUGACUAAGGA